rnacentral:tRNA from 1 species
GUGUUGUGGCUCAGCGGUGGAGUGUUUGCCUAGUACGAGUAAGGUGCUGGGUUCGAUCCUCAGCACACA